CGGGACGGGUGAGUAAUGUCUGGAAACUGCCUGAUGGAGGGGGAUAACUACUGGAAACGGUAGCUAAUACCGCAUAACGUCGCAAGACCAAAGAGGGGGACCUUCGGGCCUCUUGCCAUCGGAUGUGCCCAGAUGGGAUUAGCUAGUAGGUGGGGUAACGGCUCACCUAGGCGACGAUCCCUAGCUGGUCUGAGAGGAUGACCAGCCACACUGGAACUGAGACACGGUCCAG
rnacentral:rRNA from 1 species